AAUGGGGGAUAACGUAGCGAAAGUUACGCUAAUACCGCAUAUGCCUUGAGGGGGAAAGUGGGGGAUCGCAAGACCUCACGUUUUCGGAGCGGCCGAUAUCAGAUUAGCUAGUUGGUGGGGUAAAGGCCUACCAAGGCGACGAUCUGUAGCUGGUCUGAGAGGACGACCAGCCACACUGGGACUGAGACACGGCCCAGACUCCUACGGGAGGCAGCAGUGGGGAAUUUUGGACAAUGGGGGCAACCCUGAUCCAGCCAUGCCGCGUGAGUGAAGAAGGCCUUCGGGUUGUAAAGCUCUUUCGGACGGAAAGAAAUCCUAUCCGCUAAUACCGGGUGGGGAUGACGGUACCGUAAGAAGAAGCACCGGCUAACUACGUGCCAGCAGCCGCGGUAAUACGUAGGGUGCGAGCGUUAAUCGGAAUUACUGGGCGUAAAGCGUGCGCAGGCGGUUUAUUAAGACAGAUGUGAAAUCCCCGGGCUUAACCUGGGAACUGCAUUUGUGACUGGUAGGCUAGAGUGUGGCAGAGGGGGGUAGAAUUCCA
rnacentral:rRNA from 1 species